CUUAAUAACAUGAUUUUCUGAAAGGAGAAUGAUUCUAGUUUAGGGUUUUACAUGUAAAAAGAUAGUUAUUUAGUCAGAAAACAUAAAAUUAGACCUAAAUAGCAUGUUGGACAGAGGUUAUGUUGGACGUAACAGGACAUUGAAAAAUUGAAUAUUUUCCUUUUAUAUGAAGGCCUAGUUAAUAAAUAUAUCAAUUUUUCUCUAACAGUUCAUAAGAUCUUCAAUUAAAGUAUAUCAUUUUGUUAAAUUUUUCAAAAACUAACUUAUAAGUUGGAAAAAUCUUAAAAUAUGUCGGACAAACGGGGACAUUUUUGGAUGAGAAUUUGUUCCAUUUGCAUCAUUGAAAGUCAAAAACAAAAUCAAAACUAUGCUGUUUAUACUAAUAUCUACAGCUGGUGUUCCUCAGCAAGAGGUAAAAUGGUUCAUUAUUAAAUAAAUGGAUAAAACAAAACCAUAAAAAACUGUAGGACAAAAAUAGGACAGAUUAUAUUCCCUGUCGGACAAACAUAGGACAGAAUUCAUUAAUUUACUGAUCCUAAUGGGAAUUUAAAAAUGGGCACCUCUUAAGAAGAGACUAGGAAGGGUCUGAGAACUAUUUUUUAGUUUAUGUGGACUUGUUAGUUGUUAACAAGGUUCUUUUUACUUUUAAAAAGCUGUUACGUCCGACAUUAGAAGAUUUUGUCCUACGGUUCGUCCAACAGAAAAUUAAUGGACUCUUGUUACGUCCUAAUUUUCAAAAUUAUGUCAAAUUUAGACUGUCAACAGUUUAAAACCUCUUUAUUUUUCAUUUAUAUGGUAGUAUUUAAGGUUAAGUAAUUGUCAAAGUAGAAGCGAAAUUGAUUCUGUGACUUGUGGUAGCC
rnacentral:lncRNA from 1 species